rnacentral:piRNA from 1 species
UAUGGGACAAUGGUGGGAGA